rnacentral:lncRNA from 1 species
GCUGGAACUGACUAAAAAGGGCACUGAGGCAACUUGUUGCGAUGAUGGAAAUAAUCCAAAUGGUUGGACAACACUACAUUUACGAAAAUCCACGAUACUGUACAUUACAAUGGAUGUGUUUUAUUACAUGUAAAUUAUAUCUCAGAAAAACCGGCUUUUAAUAAAAGAGAACUCAAGAGGCUCACCGACAAAGGCAAUGAAAACGCUGGCUUUCCAAUGUGAAGCAGGCAGAACGUAGACAAGGCAGGAGGGUUGGGCAGGUAUCCCUCUCCUCCUGUGGUGGCAGCAGCAGCCGGGGGACUCAGUUCCUUAAUGGCUUCCGCUCCAGCCGGAAGUCCCGCCUAUGCUUUGACUGACCUGCCACCUUUGCCCCUACUGCGAUAAUUCACUAUGUUGCAGUCUCAGAACCCUGGGUCCUAUCAACCCUACUCCCUACUCCCCGCGGGCGGGCACGACCUCUUCAAAUGCCACAUAACUGGUCAUCUCCACACAUCUCUGCACUUUACACCGUGUUUGCCGGCUUUACGAUAUGGCUGACGGGAAGGUUGGAUUUGGGACUGAGUCCUACUCUAUCACAAAUGAAGAAAAUCAGUGCCACUCUAGAGGCAAUAACAACGGGGAACGUCUCAUAAAGAGGACUUUAAAGUGAAUGUGCACCGUUUGUUGCUGUGGGCAAGGCCAACUGUGCCCAAGGACUUUGAAAGCCUCUGCAUUCUGAUCCUGGGUUGUCAUCUGCUAUGCAGAUUAGAUUCCCAAAGAUUCUAAACUGUGGCGGUUACCUCAUUGACAUAAAGGUUUGCUUUGUGGAGUCUUAUGCCAUUAGAACAAGGA